CCAAACUUGGUCAUUUAGAGGAAGUAAAAGUCGUAACAAGGUUUCCGUAGGUGAACCUGCGGAAGGAUCAUUACCGAGUGUCGGGCCCCCCCGGGGGUCCACCCUCCCACCCGUGUUUACCGUCCCUGUUGCUUCGGCGGGCCCUGGCGCCCGCCGGAGACCCUCCACGAACCCUGUGUGAAGGUUGUCGUCUGAGUGGAUUGACCCAAUCGUUAAAACUUUCAACAACGGAUCUCUUGGUUCCGGCAUCGAUGAAGAACGCAGC
rnacentral:misc_RNA from 1 species